rnacentral:rRNA from 1 species
UACGGGGGGAGCAAGCGUUGUUCGGAUUUACUGGGCGUAAAGGGCGCGUAGGCGGCCAGCACAAGUCAGUUGUGAAAUCUCCGAGCUUAACUCGGAACGGUCAACUGAUACUGUGCGGCUAGAGUGCGGAAGGGGCAACUGGAAUUCUUGGUGUAGCGGUGAAAUGCGUAGAUAUCAAGAGGGACACCUGCGGCGAAGGCGGGUUGCUGGGCCGACACUGACGCUGAGGCGCGAAAGCUAGGGGAGCGAACGGG